UACGUAGGGAGCAAGCGUUGUCCGGAAUCAUUGGGCGUAGAGCGCGCGUAGGCGGCCCCGUAAGUCCGCUGUGAAAGUCAAAGGCUCAACCUUUGAAAGCCGGUGGAUACUGUGGGGCUAGAGUCCGGAAGAGGCGAGUGGAAUUCCUGGUGUAGCGGUGGAAUGCGCAGAUAUCAGGAGGAACACCAAUAGCGAAGGCAGCUCGCUGGGACGGUACUGACGCUAAGGCGCGAAAGCGUGGGGAGCGAACAGG
rnacentral:rRNA from 1 species